AGUGAACGCUGGCGGUAGGCCUAACACAUGCAAGUCGAACGGCAGCACAGUAAGAGCUUGCUCUUACGGGUGGCGAGUGGCGGACGGGUGAGGAAUACAUCGGAAUCUACUUUUUCGUGGGGGAGAACGUAGGGAAACUUACGCUAAUACCGCAUACGACCUACGGGUGAAAGCAGCGGAUCUUCGGACCUUGCGCGAUUGAAUGAGCCGAUGUCGGAUUAGCUAGUUGGCGGGGGAAAGGCCCACCAAGGCGACGAUCCGUAGCUGGUCUGAGAGGAUGAGUCGGCCACCUUGAACUGGGAAACGGUCCAGAACCCCACGGGAGGGAACAGGGGGGAAUAUUGGGCAAGGGGGGGAAGCCCUAUCCAGCCCUGCCGGGGGUGGUAAAAAGGGCCUUGGAUUUGUAAGCCCUUUUUGUUGGGAAAAAAAACAGGAAGGUUAAACCCCCCCUUUUUGACGGUACCAAAAAAAAAAGCCCCGGCUAACUUCGUG
rnacentral:rRNA from 1 species